AUGCGCGCGCAGGCGUGGGCGCGCGGGGGGGCGGUGGCGCGCUUGAUGACGCCAUUCAAUUGCCCCACGGCCCACGCCUCCUCCCCCGACCUGCUGCUGCCGCGGCUGCUGCUGCUCCGCUCCUCCUCCUCCUGCUCCUCUUAUAGCAUCCUCCCCACUCUCCUCCGACGCCAAUUCGCCUCGGACACCUCCACCUCCCCUGCCUCAGUUGACAACACCAGACAGAGUUCUCGUACGUUCAUGGAGGUUGUUCGAGAAGUCUUUAAGCACGGCUCUGCACAUGGUGCCCGUGCGGCUAUAAGAGCUGACCAGAAGAGUUACAGUCUUGUCCAGCUUAUUUCGUCUGCACUGGAUGUCCACAAUAUUUUGUGCAGAAAACAUGAUGGUAAAGAUUCUUCUGUCAAUGGAGCAAAAGGGACAGGAUUCCUUUGUGGUGCUCGUAUUGGCAUUGUGGCUAAACCCUCUCCUGAAUUUGUUGCUGGGAUAUUUGGAACCUGGCUUUCUGGUGGAGUUGCAGUACCCCUUGCACUUAGCUAUCCUGAAGUUGAACUUCUGCAUGUCAUGAAUGACUCGGACAUUUCUAUGGUGUUAAGCACAAAAGAGCAUCAUGAGAUUAUGGAAAGCAUCUCUACCAAAUGUUCCACUCGUUAUUCUCUUCUUCCACCUGUGGAAAGUAUACCUCCAAAGAUAGAUGCCCAAGAACCUUUAAGUAGUGUAUUGACUUCAUCAGUUUCUAGCUUAAUGGCUGAGAUUGACACUUUACAGAAAAUUAAAGGAGAUGAUCCUGCUCUUAUCCUUUACACAAGUGGCACAACUGGCAAACCGAAAGGAGUAGUCCACACUCAUGAUGGGAUACUUUCUCAGGUUCAAAUUCUGACAGAGGCAUGGGGAUAUCAAAGUGAAGAUCAGUUUCUUCACUGUCUUCCACUGCACCAUGUGCAUGGUCUUUUCAAUGCUCUAUUUGCGCCCCUCUAUUCAGGAUCAGUGGUCGAGUUUAUGCCAAAAUUCAGUGUGAGAGGAGUAUGGCAGAGAUGGUGCGAGUCAUAUCCCAACCACGGCAGUAAAAAUGAUGAGGCUAUUACAGUAUUUACCGGAGUUCCGACAGUGUACACACGCCUACUGCAAGGGUACGAUAGUAUGAAUCCUGAUCAACAGUCUGCCUGUUCUUAUGCCGCAAAGCAGCUGAGACUAAUGAUGUGUGGAUCAUCAGCACUUCCUUCCCCACUCAUGAAACGGUGGCAAGAAGUGACAGGCCACCGUCUUUUGGAACGCUAUGGCAUGACUGAGUUUGUCAUGGCACUGUCUAACCCAUUGCAUGGUGCACGGAAAGAAGGUACAGUCGGUAAACCUCUUCCACGUGUUGAGGCCAAGAUCAUUAUGGAUGAUGGUACUCAAACCAAAACUGGAGUCGGUGAGCUCUGUAUUAAAAGUCCGUCCCUUUUCAAAGAGUACUGGAAAAGACCAGAGGUUACAGCAGAAUCAUUUAUUGAUGGUGGGUUCUUCAAGACUGGUGAUACGGUAACUGUAGAUGAGGACGGAUACUUUAUAAUUCUAGGGCGCACGAAUGCUGAUAUCAUGAAAGUUGGUGGUUACAAGUUGUCAGCGUUAGAAAUUGAGGCGGUUCUGUUAGAGCAUGACACUGUACUGGAGUGUGCUGUUCUUGGCUUGCCUGAUGAAGCUUAUGGGGAGGUCAUAUGUGCAAUAAUUGUGCCUAAGGAGGAUGCGAAGGCAAGGGUCGAACAGUCUUCGAAGCCAGCACUAACCUUAGAAGAAUUGACAAGUUGGUCAAAAGAUAGACUUGCUCCAUACAAGAUUCCAACGAGAUUGCACUUAUGGGAUUCUCUUCCUCGGAAUGCCAUGGGAAAGGUUAACAAGAAGGAGCUUAAGAAAUUAUUAGAGGUGUAG
rnacentral:rRNA from 1 species